rnacentral:rRNA from 1 species
UACGUAGGGGGCAAGCGUUAUCCGGAUUUACUGGGUGUAAAGGGAGCGCAGACGGAACUGCAAGUCUGAUGUGAAAGCCCGGGGCUCAACCGCGGGACUGCAUCGGAUACUGUGGAUCUGGAGUGCCGGAGGGGCAAGCGGAAUUCCUGGUGUAGCGGUGAAAUGCGUAGAUAUCAGGAGGAACACCGGCGGCGAAGGCGGCUUGAUGGACGGCAACUGACGUUGAGGCUCGAAAGCGUGGGGAGCAAACAGGAUUAGAUACCCGGGUA